UAUACCGUGAAACUGCGAAUGGCUCAUUAAAUCAGUUAUCGUUUAUUUGAUAGUACCUUACUACUUGGAUACCCGUGGUAAUUCUAGAGCUAAUACAUGCUAAAAACCCCAACUUCGGGAGGGGUGUAUUUAUUAGAUAAAAAACCAACGCCCUUUCGGGGCUUCUUGGUGAUUCAUGAUAACUUUACGGAUCGCAUGGCCUUGCGCCGGCGACGGUUCAUUCAAAUUUCUGCCCUAUCAACUUUCGAUGGUAAGGUAUUGGCUUACCAUGGUUUCAACGGGUAACGGGGAAUUAGGGUUCGAUUCCGGAGAGGGAGCCUGAGAAACGGCUACCACAUCCAAGGAAGGCAGCAGGCGCGCAAAUUACCCAAUCCCGACACGGGGAGGUAGUGACAAUAAAUACUGAUACAGGGCUCUUUUGGGUCUUGUAAUUGGAAUGAGUACAAUUUAAACCUCUUAACGAGGAACAAUUGGAGGGCAAGUCUGGUGCCAGCAGCCGCGGUAAUUCCAGCUCCAAUAGCGUAUAUUAAAGUUGUUGCAGUUAAAAAGCUCGUAGUUGAAACUUGGGUCUGGCUGGCAGGUCCGCCUCACCGCGUGUACUUGUCCGGCCGGGCCUUCCUUCUGGAGAACCGCAUGCCCUUUACUGGGCGUGUUGGGGACCAGGACUUUUACUUUGAAAAAAUUAGAGUGUUCAAAGCAGGCCUUUGCUCGAAUACGUUAGCAUGGAAUAAUAGAAUAGGACGUGCGGUCCUAUUUUGUUGGUUUCUAGGACCGCCGUAAUGAUUAAUAGGGACAGUCGGGGGCAUCAGUAUUCAAUUGUCAGAGGUGAAAUUCUUGGAUUUAUUGAAGACUAACUACUGCGAAAGCAUUUGCCAAGGAUGUUUUCAUUAAUCAGUGAACGAAAGUUAGGGGAUCGAAGACGAUCAGAUACCGUCGUAGUCUUAACCGUAAACUAUGCCGACUAGGGAUCGGGCGAUGUUCUUUUUUCUGACUCGCUCGGCACCUUACGAGAAAUCAAAGUUUU
rnacentral:rRNA from 1 species